rnacentral:rRNA from 1 species
GUGCUUAACACAUGCAAGUCGAGUGCGCAGUUUCCUGUAGCAAUACAGGAGGCGGGCGCACGGCGCACGGGUGCGUAACACGUGGGCAAUCUGCCCUCGGAUGGGGGAUAACCCCGCGAAAGCGGGGCUAAUACCGCAUGACAUUCCGAAGACUCCGGUCUUUGGACUCAAAGGCCGCAAGGCCGUCUGAGGAGGAGCCCGCGCCCGAUUAGCUAGUUGGUGAGGUAACGGCUCACCAAGGCUUUGAUCGGUAGCCGGUCUGAGAGGAUGGCCGGCCACACUGGAACUGAGACACGGUCCAG